AUUGAACGCUGGCGGCAGGCCUAACACAUGCAAGUCGAGCGGAUGAAGGGAGCUUGCUCCUGGAUUCAGCGGCGGACGGGUGAGUAAUGCCUAGGAAUCUGCCUGGUAGUGGGGGAUAACGUCCGGAAACGGGCGCUAAUACCGCAUACGUCCUGAGGGAGAAAGUGGGGGAUCUUCGGACCUCACGCUAUCAGAUGAUCCUAGGUCGGAUUAGCUAGUUGGUGGGGUAAAGGCCUACCAAGGCGACGAUCCGUAACUGGUCUGAGAGGAUGAUCAGUCACACUGGAACUGAGACACGGUCCAGACUCCUACGGGAGGCAGCAGUGGGGAAUAGUGGACAAUGGGCGAAAGCCUGAUCCAGCCAUGCCGCGUGUGUGAAGAAGGUCUUCGGAUUGUAAAGCACUUUAAGUUGGGAGGAAGGGCAGUAAGUUAAUACCUUGCUGUUUUGACGUUACCAACAGAAUAAGCACCGGCUAACUUCGUG
rnacentral:rRNA from 1 species